AUUGAACGCUGGCGGCAGGCCUAACACAUGCAAGUCGAGCGAGCGGCGGACGGGUGAGUAAUGUCUGGGACACUGCCUGCUGGAGGGGGAUAACUACUGGAAACGGUAGCUAAUAACGCAUACCAUCAGAUGUGCCCAGAUGGGAUUAGCUAGGAGGUGGGGUAACGGCUCACCUAGGCGACGAUCCCUAGCUGGUCUGAGAGGAUGAUCAGCCACACUGGAACUGAGCCACGGUCCAGACUCGUACGGGAGGUAGCAGUGGGGAAUAUUGCACAAGGGUCGCAAGCCUGAUGCAGCAAUGCCGCGUGUGUGAAGAAGGUCUUAGGGUUUUAAAGCUCUUACGGUGGGUAGGCGUUACCCGCAGAAGAAGCACCGGCUAACUCCGUGCCAGCCGCCGCGGUAAUAC
rnacentral:rRNA from 1 species